GUAGGUGGCAAGCGUUGUCCGGAAUUAUUGGGGCGUAAAGCGCGCGCAGGCGGUCCUUUAAGGUCUGAUGUGAAAGCCCACGGGCUCAGCCGUGGAGGGUCAUUGGAAACUGGGGGACUUGAGUACAGAAGAGGAAAGCGGAAUUCCACGUGUAGCGGUGAAAUGCGUAGAGAUGCGGAGGAACACCAGUGGCGAAGGCGGCUUUCUGGUCUGUAACUGACGCUGAGGCGCGAAAGCGUGGGGAGCAAACAGGAUUAGAUACCCUGGUAGUCCACGCCGUAAACGAUGAGUGCUAAGUGUUAGGGGGUUUCCGCCCCUUAGUGCUGCAGCUAACGCAUUAAGCACUCCGCAUGGGGAGUACGGCCGCAAGGCUG
rnacentral:rRNA from 1 species